GACGAACGCUGGCGGCGUGCCUAAUACAUGCAAGUCGAACGAACCGCGACUAGGUGCUUGCACUUGGUCAAGGUGAGAGGCGAACGGGUGAGUAACACGUGGGUAACCUACCUCAUAGUGGGGGAUAACAGUCGGAAACGACUGCUAAUACCGCAUAGGACAUAGGAUCACAUGAUCCAGUGAGGAAAGGUGGCGCAAGCUAUCGCUAAGAGAUGGACCCGCGGUGCAUUAGCUAGUUGGUAGGGUAAAGGCCUACCAAGGCGAUGAUGCAUAGCCGACCUGAGAGGGUGAUCGGCCACAUUGGGACUGAGACACGGCCCAAACUCCUACGGGAGGCAGCAGUAGGGAAUCUUCCGCAAUGGACGCAAGUCUGACGGAGCAACGCCGCGUGAGUGAAGAAGGUCUUCGGAUCGUAAAGCUCUGUUGUUAGAGAAGAACAGCGCAUAGAGUAACUGUUAUGCGUGUGACGGUAUCUAACCAGAAAGCCACGGCUAACUACGUG
rnacentral:rRNA from 1 species